CCAUUUUCAACAGGCAAAGCGCCGCGACAGGAGCACCCAACCGCCCUCGUCAGCAGCCGUGCGGUAGCAGCGAGAGCUCUACAUGCGAAGCAGCGAAAUUAAUCUACACGAAUAAGUGGAUAUUUACGCACUGAUUACAUAACUUUACUGGACUAUUUAUUCUACUGUUGUUGUUUAUGUUUUCUAUCCACCCGAAGUUUGUUUUUAAUUGCACAAUUCGCAUUUAUAACUGAUUUCCAACUCAAAAUGGAGAAUCAAGAAGGCAAAUACCUCCCGGAGCUCCUCGCGGAGAAAGACAGUCUGGACGUGUCAUUUACGCACGCGAUGAAACUUUUAUCCGCAGAAAUCGAGAGAAUCCAGAAAGGUGAACCCAAGAAGGAAGGAGGAGACGCGUACCUGGACCUUUUCACCGUCAAGAAUAUCAAACUGAAGGAGCGUGUGCUCAUACCUGUCAAACAGUAUCCGAGGUUCAACUUUGUGGGGAAGAUUCUUGGCCCUCAGGGCAACACAAUCAAACGCCUUCAGGAAGAGACUGGGGCCAAGAUCUCUGUACUGGGCAAAGGUUCCAUGAGGGACAAGGCGAAGGAGGAGGGUCAGAGGAAAGGUGGUGAGCCCAAGUACGCACACCUGUCUAUGGAGCUGCAUGUCUUCAUCGAGGUGUUUGCCCCCGUGCCCGAGGCUUAUCUACGCAUGGCACACGCCAUGGAGGAAGUCAAGAAGUUCCUGUUUCCUGACAUGAUGGAUGACAUCUGUCAGGAACAGUUCAUGGAGAUGGGUUAUCUGAACGGGGGCCAGGAGCACGGGCCAGGGGCCCCACGAGGUAGAGGCGGACCACCGGGCCCCAGGGGCCGAGGAGGGCCACCGGGACAAACAGGGGCAUCCAGGGGUAGAGGUAUGCUCCCACGUGGAGGUGCCACAAGGGGAGGUGCGCCCCGCGGAGGGCCAGCCAGAGUUGGGGUAGUGAGGGGGGCACCGGCAGGAAGAGGGGGACCUCCAGCUGCCCCCGCCCGAGGGGCAGCAACGCCCCGAGCCAGACCCCCUGCCCCUGGGGGACCACCCAGGAUGCCACCCCCACACCAACACGCCCCAGCACACGGACAAUAUGAGGAAUAUGCCUAUGAUGAGGGCUACACAGAGCCAGCGUACGAGUCAUACGACAAUUACUACAGUCAACCACAGGCAGAGCCAGAGUACUACGACUACGGACAUGGAGAGGUACAGGAGGCAUAUGAACCCUACGCCCAGGAUGACUGGAACGGAGCCCAGAGAGCGGCCCCGGCGGGAAAGGCCCCACCUUCCAGAGCGGCUAAGGGCCCUUACCGAGAACACCCCUAUAGACAAUACUGAACUCACCAUGACAACGCCUAGCGACCAACGCUAACGAGUUGCCCUGACAACCAACAGACCUGUCUACCACGGCAGCUCUCGCUCUAAGCAACCCUCGAAAAAAGUCCAACUAUUAGUCAGUAAAGGACCAAUCAGAGGGUGGCUUACUGGAGAGAGAACCAAUCAGAGGUCGGCUUACUGGAAAGAUGAUACCAUACGUACCUCAGUGAGGUGGUGCAGGAGCAGCAGGGUCCUACAUGACAGAGCACUUGAUCUCCGUCAGGCUCCACAGUGAAGGACUGACCCAGUGUAGGGCACCAAUACUGGGGUAGAGCAGUCCCGAAGGAGGGCAGGCUGCCAAGAGGACCAGAGAGCAGAUGUAACCUACAGAGAAGGGAGCCUCGGCUCCGCUAGAAGAAGAAGAGGGGUGAUUCUAUGAGGCUCUGUAUUAGAAUCUGGAUGAGGGGAGAAGAUUCUGGAAUGUGAAGCUAUGACACUUAACUGUGAAGCUAUGACACUGAAGCUAUGACACUUAACUGUGAAGCUAUGACACUUACUGUGAAGCUAUGACACUGAAGCUAUGACACUAACUGUGAAGCUAUGACACUAACUGUGAAGCUAUGACACUAACUGUGAAGCUAUGACACUAACUGUGAAGCUAUGACACUAACUGUGAAGCUAUGACACUUACUGUGAAGCUAUGACACUAACUGUGAAGCUAUGACACUAACUGUGAAGCUAUGACACUUACUGUGAAGCUAUGCUUGUGAUGUCUGUGUGACUGUGGCGUUUUGAUACUGUGCUGCUUAUUCACUGCCAGGUACUUUUGAUACUACACUAUUCUAUUGGUUUGUAAUGUGAACAGUUUCCAAGACCCUUUACAGUGUGUAGUAGGUGAAACCUCAUUGUUAUGGAAAUGUACAAUGAAAAUGCCCACCCAGGCUGUAACCAGCUGUGAAAUUGGUUUAAAUAUCCCUUUAAUUGGUUGUCUUCUAUUUUCUUUGAAGGGUUUUUACUUUCUGCAAGGCAAGCUGUAUUUAUUCACCCCCUCAUAGAGAGAUUGUUCAUUAUACUGUUUUAGCAGAUUACAGCCUGUGUCCAUGUCUGUUUCUUUGUCUUCGUGGUUUAAUAUCAUGGUAAAUGAUGCUAUGUGCUUGUGAAAUCAAGACACCCUAAGAGUGAAUCUGUUUCUGUUCUGCUCGGGGCCUCUGCCGCUCGCCACGUCGUUCACACACUGAAUAUCACUCACACAUACACACACACACGUACACCAGACAAUCCCUGGCAUAACCCAGCCUAUGUUGCCCUAAAGAUAUGAAAUGCUAAUGUGAAAUGCAUUUGCAUGUUCUUUCCGCUCAAAUGUGCAAAGCUUUCGCAAAAAAUGUUGGCUUGCUCAACGUCCAAGUCUGAUAAUACUCUGAGAUCUGGCUGUGAGGUGAAGUGUGUGUGAGGGAGAUGAAUAGAUUACCAGCAUUUGCUCUCUACCUCUCCGGCUCCUCCGCUGACUCCCUCCCCCCCUACCUCCUUUCUCUCCUGCUCUCCCCUGACUCCAUCUCUUCCUCUCCUGCUCUCCCCUGACUCCAUCUCUUUCUCUCCUGCUCUCCCCUGACUCCCUCCCUGUCUCUCCUGCUCUCCCCUGACUCUAUCUCUUUCUCUCCUGCUCUCCCCUGACUCCAUCUCUUUCUCUGCUGCUCUCCCCUGACUCCAUCUCUUUCUCUCCUGCUCUCCCCUGACUCCAUCUCUUUCUCUCCUGCUCUCCCCUGACUCCAUCUCUUUCUCUCCUGCUCUCCCCUGACUCCAUCUCUUUCUCUCCUGCUCUCCCCUCCCUCCCCCCUUUCUCUCCUGCUCUCCCCUGUCUCCCUCCCUUUCUCUCCUGCUCUCCCCUGACUCCAUCUCUUUCUCUCCUGCUCUCCCCUGACUCCAUCUCUUUCUCUCCUGCUCUCCCCUGACUCCCUCCUGUCUCUCCUGCUCUCCCCUGACUCCAUCUCUUUCUCUCCUGUUCUCCCUUGACUCCAUCUCUUUCUCUCCUGACUCCCUCCUGUCUCUCCUGCUCUCCCCUGACUCCAUCUCUUUUUCUCCUGCUCUCCCCUGACUCCAUCUCUUUUUCUCCUGCUCUCCCCUGACUCCAUCUCUUUCUCUCCUGCUCUCCCUUGACUCCAUCUCUUUCUCUCCUGCUCUCCCCUGACUCCAUCUCUUUCUCUCCUGCUCUCCCUCCCUCCCUCCUUUCUCUCCUGCUCUCCCCCUGACUCCAUCUCUUUCUCUCCUGCUCUCCCCUGACUCCAUCUCUUUCUCUCCUGCUCUCCCUCCCUCCCUCCUUUCUCUCUUGCUCUCCCCUGACUCCCAUCUAGCCUGCUUUUUCUAUUACUUAAUUCAGUCAGUUCUACCAACCACUACUAAUGGCCUUCUGUCAAUGUCCUGGAGUAGGGUGUGUGUGUGUGUGUGCUGACAAUGUCAGUACAGUAACCGUGCAUUACUGUAUUAAACACUUAAAAAAAAUCAAUCAAUCUGUCCCCACUGAGGCUUAACCAGCAUCCCAAAUUUCUUCCCCAUUCCCUUUAUAGUGUACUACUUUUGACCAGGGCCCAUAGGCCGAAUGUAUAGGGAAUAGGCUGCUAGUUGGUACGCAGCUGUCCUCUGUGUCUCCAUGUAACAACUGGAAGACGGGAGGGA